rnacentral:rRNA from 1 species
CAGUCGCCGCGGUAAUACGUAGGGUGCGAGCGUUAAUCGGAAUUACUGAGCGUAAAGCGUGCGCAGGCGGUUGUGUAAGACAGGUGUGAAAUCCCCGGGCUUAACCUGGGAACUGCGCUUGUGACUGCACAGCUAGAGUAUGGCAGAGGGGGGUGGAAUUCCACGUGUAGCAGUGAAAUGCGUAGAGAUGUGGAGGAACGCCGAUGGCGAAGGCAGCCCCCUGGGCCAAUACUGACGCUCAUGCACGAAAGCGUGGGGAGCAAACAGGAUUAGAUACCCCAGUAGUCCCUGUCUCUUAUAC